UGAGGGCGUCAAUGCCCCUGUUGCCACACCAUUGCUUCCACAGCCAGAGAAAAGAACUAAUUUGUGUUUUUCCUUCCUCAGGAGUAUGGUGGAAGUGACAGAGCUGCUCAUGUCCCAUAACUUCCCUGCCUGCUGCCAUCUUUGUCAUGGAUGUGGAAAGGCCAUCCCAGGAAGAUGGUUGAGGGGUUCAUUAACUCCUGACAGAGGAUGGAAUCUUCCUUCGUCUGUGUGCUGGGAAUUUGCACUGCACUAGAACCUCUUUGGAAGGAGAUAUCCACUAAAGACCCAGACUGCAGUGACACCUCUGGAGCUGGGCAGACCUCACCCCACGCCGAAU
rnacentral:lncRNA from 1 species